rnacentral:ncRNA from 1 species
AACAUUCAUCAGACCAAGAGGUAGCCCAAGUUGUUGAAUUACCAAUUUGGACAAAUCAAGUUUGGGGGUGUUGUGCACAGAUUGAUUGCAGAUGGCUUUGAUGCAUUAUUUAAGAAAUGUUGUUUGAGACUUUUCAUAUCCUGAAAAAAUGAAAGCCAUUAUUUUGAACAAAUUAGAGUGCUCAAAGCAGGUGUAUCCCAACGCCUGAAUAUCGCAGCAUGGAAUGAUGGAAUAGGACCUCGGUCCGAUUUUGCUGGUCUUUUACUUUUGGACCCGAGGUAAUGGUCAAUAGAGACGGACGGGGGCAUUCGUACUGCGGCGACAGAGGUGAAAUUCUUGGACCGCCGCAAGACGAACAACAGCGAAGGCAUUUGCCAAGAAUGUUUUCCUUGAUCAAGAACGAAAGUUAGAGGUUCGAAGGCGAUCAGAUACCGCCCUAGUUCUAACCAUAAACGAUGCCAACCAGCAAUCCGUCGGAGUUACUCCAAUGACUCGACGGGCAGCUUCCGGGAAACCAAAGUCUUUGGGUUCCGGGGGAAGUAUGGUUGCAAAGCUGAAACUUAAAGGAAUUGACGGAAGGGCACCACCAGGAGUGGAGCCUGCGGCUUAAUUUGACUCAACACGGGAAACCUCACCAGGCCCGGACACUGGAAGGAUUGACAGAUUGAGAGCUCUUUCUUGAUUCGGUGGGUGGUGGUGCAUGGCCGUUCUUAGUUGGUGGAGCGAUUUGUCUGGUUAAUUCCGAUAACGAACGAGACUCUAGCCUGCU